AGAUUUUGGAGACGAAACAAUGGCUGGAGCAGGAGCACAUAUCGUGAAGAGAAUCCCACGCAUCAAAUUUCCUCAACGACACGCAAAAGCUUCUUCUGGUUCCAUGCAGCAGAACUCACAACACAUGAAAACUUCCGCAACUGAUGAUGUUCCUCAAACAUUCUUCUCAAGAUCCCCAUCUAGCACGUCUGUUGCAGGGAAGGCUUCUGACCAACCUAAAAGAACACCGGUGUCUCAGGAGGAAAUUGAGUCCAUUUUGUUAGGUGGCUGCAACUAAUUUUGAGGCGAAGAUGUGCAGACAGAGGACAUAGUUUUUCGACGUCUGGCUUACAUUUGGGUGAUUUCUUUUGCAUGUAUGGUAUAACUGACACAGUUUUCUGGAAUUAUAAGUGUAUUCUGCAAAUGACAUCUUUAAUUAAUGAUCAUUAGACAUUGGAGGCUAAUGCGUGGAUUGGCUUACUACCUUGAUACUGAAUGUAAACAUUUGCAGACUAUGCAUUAUAAAAUUUUGGUCCAUCUGUUUGAGAA